GGAAAGCAUUGAACAAGACUUCUGCUCCAAAAGAAGUGACGGGUGAAUUGACUACAGAAAAUAUGUCCGAAUUGGCCAAACCACCCUGUAAAAGUUCCGUAAAUCUUGACGGAGGAAUGGAAGAGAGUUCUACGGUCAAAGAUAAUGCAACUGUACAUCUGAGCAAAGAAAAUUUAGUCACGAAGGGAACAAUUCCAGACCUUGCUUACAAUGUAAAAAUUUCCAUGAAGGAGGCAUCAAACAGUUGCAUGUCAUUAACAGAAGCUACACAAGCCACAAAUACAUCUUCAAAAAGAAAGUCCCGUGAGACAAAGCCAAAAGAAAACACAAGUGCCAAAAGGCAGUAUGUGAAAAAGUCAGGAUUGAACAAGUCUUCCAUUCCUACAGAAGUAUCAGGAGACUUGCCUGGAAAAAUGAUUGCAGAAUCUGCCAAAACUUCUUGUAGACAGACCUUAAAUUUUGACAGAGGAGCAAGAGAUGAAAGUUCUGCUGACAGAAAUAAUGAUGCAACUAUGCAUCCAUGCAAAGAAACUGGUACAGUAAUGCAGGAAAUAGAUGUAGGCAUUACCUAUGAUAUCGGGACAUUCAUGAAGCGGGCAGCAGAAAAUAGUUACAUGACAUUUUGUGAUAACGUACAAACCCCAAGUCUGUCCCCUUCAAAAACCGAUCUCCCUGGGGCAAAGCCAAAAGAAAACCUGACUGGAGAGAAGAAGUAUCAGAGAAGAAAACGACUGAACAAGCCUCCUACUUGUCAAACAGAACUGACUGGAGCAAUGAUGCCAGAAUCUACAGAAAUGCAAAGAAGGUUCUCAGAUUUUGACAUGGGAACAAAAGAUGAAAAUUCUGCAAACAGAGAAAUUUUUAAUGUCCAAAUUGGCAGUAUGGUAGAGGAAACACAUAUAGGCCUUGCCUAUAAUCAAGACACUUGGAUGAUGCAGGCAUUAAAUAGUUACAUCUCAUUAUCUGAAGCCGCACAAGCCCCAUGUACAUAUCCUUCAAAAGGUAAUCCUCCUGUGAGAAAGAAGAGAUCGAAAAGGACUUCUACUCCGACAGAAAUGACAGGUGAAUUGACUGAACCAAUUAGGUCUGAAUCUACCAUACUAUCGUGUAGAAUGUCCUUAAACUUUGAUAAAGAAGGAAGAGAUGAAUGUAAUACAUGCAAUGAAAGCCUCGCCAGUGAUCAAAACAUCACGGUGAAUGAGAUCUUACAUAAUGACAUCUCGUUAUCUGAAAACACACAAACUCCAAGUUCA
rnacentral:lncRNA from 1 species